rnacentral:misc_RNA from 1 species
UCCGGUUUGACACCGGCAGUCUCCCUAGAGUCCCCACCAUUACGUGCUGGCAACUAGGAACAGGGGUUGCGCUCGUUGCCGGACUUAACCGAACAUCUCACGACACGAGCUGACGACAACCAUGCACCACCUGUAUACCUCGGACGAACCCGAUGCAUCUCUGCAUCUGAACGGUAUAUUUCAAGCCCUGGUAAGGUUCUUCGCGUUGCGUCGAAUUAAGCCACAUGCUCCGCCGCUUGUGCGGGCCCCCGUCAAUUCCUUUGAGUUUUAACCUUGCGGCCGUACUCCCCAGGCGGAGUGCUUAAUGCGUUAGCUGCGGCACCGAAGGACUAGGUCCCCCGACAUCUAGCACUCAUCGUUUACGGCGUGGACUAC